rnacentral:snoRNA from 1 species
UAAACAUGAUGACACUAUUUGCUACUCUUAAAAAUAAUGAAGAAUUCUAAACCACCAAAGAAAUCUGAUUUA